CCUCACUGACUGAUCCAUAGACCUCUGAAGUUCUCUGAAGUUGUGCCGUCAAAGGACAAAACUUUAAAAAAAUCUCAAGAUAGGCUACUGGAUCUCCUUAUUUGGGCAAAGAUGUUAGCUUUUUUGUAGGCAAACUUCACACAUCGGGACAACAGUAAGCAGAUGGUUCAGUAUUUCUCAGAAAUCUAAAACGGCCAUUAGGCCUAAAUAAACUCUCCUAAAGGCUUAUUAAUGUUGGUUGGUGUCUUGCUUGAUUAAAGAAGUAAGAUACACAUGACAAAUUGUAUGAGGACAUAGGUGUAAUACCUCAUAAUGCAAUGAUUUGUUUUACUGUUCAUCGCCUGUACUGUUUCCUGAGUCCACUAGAUGGCACUGUCCACAAGGUAUUUCUCCACUCUGCUGCUGCUGAGUAUUGGGAUUCCUCCCAUAAAAGUGCAGACACAAGACUACCCAGCCCUCAGCUGCCUUGCCUUUGCUGCCACCCAUGGGGACAAUGGCCUCCCUGGCAGAAAUGGAAGAGACAGAGCUCCAGGACCCAAGGGAGAGAAAGCUUCAAACUUCCAGGUCUUAAGAAAAGUUGAACAGAAGUAUUAUAAAUAAAUACAGAAAGGAAGACAGAGGGGCAGUUUGUGGACUUUUCACCACCCUGAGCCUUCAACCAGCCAAACAGUGGUGGAAAGGAAGACUGCACCACUAUUGAUACUAUUACUGAAUUACCUUGAAUAAAAAUAUCCUGAACUGGUUCACUGUGUAAGAAAGGACUCAUCUUUGCCAAUAUGAGGUGAUCCACAGAAUGUGGGCAAAGCCUGGAGUAUUUUACCAGUAAAAAAGUAAAUGGAUG